rnacentral:pre_miRNA from 1 species
GUGUGUUUGUGUGAAUGGUGUUCAGGUACAGGAGCGUUUACCUGUGUGUGGAUGACAUUGAGCACCAGGGACAGGUGCGUUUACCU